ACACACUGUGUCACGCUGAAUCUCCCCCGAGAACUACGUUAAGUGUACCACGUGUCUGUGGAGUACUCAGCCACUUGCACGUUAAUUUCACGAGCAGGCUGUUCCGUUGAUCGGAUCAACUGGAAUCCUCGUCGUUGCAACCGACAGAGUGCCGUAGUAAUACAUUCUUGGUCCUUAUCC